rnacentral:rRNA from 1 species
UAGGGAAUCUUCGGCACUGGGGGCAACCCUGACCGAGCAACGCCGCGUGAGUGAAGAAGGUUUUCGGAUCGUAAAGCUCUGUUGAAAGAGAAGAACGUGUGUGAGAGUGGAAAGUUCACACAGUGACGGUAACUUACCAGAAAGGGACGGCUAACUACGUGCCAGCAGCCGCGGUAAUACGUAGGUCCCGAGCGUUGUCCGGAUUUAUUGGGCGUAAAGCGAGCGCAGGCGGUUUAAUAAGUCUGAAGUUAAAGGCAGUGGCUUAACCAUUGUUCGCUUUGGAAACUGUUAAACUUGAGUGCAGAAGGGGAGAGUGGAAUUCCAUGUGUAGCGGUGAAAUGCGUAGAUAUAUGGAGGAACACCGGUGGCGAAAGCGGCUCUCUGGUCUGUAACUGACGCUGAGGCUCGAAAGCGUGGGGAGCAAACAGG